UACGUAGGGGGCUAGCGUUGUCCGGAAUCAUUGGGCGUAAAGAGCGCGUAGGCGGCCAGAUAAGUCCGGUGUGAAAGUCACAGGCUCAACCUGUGAAUGCCGCUGGAAACUGUCUGGCUAGAGUCCGGGAGGGGCGAGUGGAAUUCCCGGUGUAGCGGUGAAAUGCGCAGAUAUCGGGAGGAACACCAAUGGCGAAGGCAGCUCGCUGGGACGUGACUGACGCUGAGACGCGAAAGCGUGGGGAGCAAACAGG
rnacentral:rRNA from 1 species